rnacentral:rRNA from 1 species
UACGUAGGGUGCAAGCGUUGUCCGGAAUUAUUGGGCGUAAAGAGCUCGUAGGCGGUCUGUCGCGUCGGAUGUGAAAAUCCAGGGCUCAACCCUGGACCUGCAUUCGAUACGGGCAGACUAGAGUUCGGCAGGGGAGACUGGAAUUCCUGGUGUAGCGGUGGAAUGCGCAGAUAUCAGGAGGAACACCGAUGGCGAAGGCAGAUCUCUGGGCCGUAACUGACGCUGAGGAGCGAAAGCGUGGGGAGCGAACAGG